AUACGUAGGGGGCGAGCGUUGUCCGGAAUGAUUGGGCGUAAAGGGCGCGUAGGCGGCCCGGUAAGUCUGGAGUGAAAGUCCUGUUUUUAAGAUGGGAAUUGCUUUGGAUACUGUCGGGCUUGAGUGCAGGAGAGGUAAGUGGAAUUCCCAGUGUAGCGGUGAAAUGCGUAGAGAUUGGGAGGAACACCAGUGGCGAAGGCGACUUACUGGACUGUAACUGACGCUGAGGCGCGAAAGUGUAGGGAGCAAACAGGAUUAGAUACCCUGGUAGUCCACACUGUAAACGAUGAAUGCUAGGUGUAGGGGGUAUCGACCCCUUCUGUGCCGCAGUCAACACAAUAAGCAUUCCGCCUGGGGAGUACGGCCGCAAGGUUGAAACUCAAAGGAAUUGACGGGG
rnacentral:rRNA from 1 species